GACGAACCGAGCGAACGUUGUUCGGAAUCACUGGGCUUAAAGGGCGCGUAGGCGGGCGGCUCAGUCUGUCGUGAAAUCCUCCAGCUCAACUGGAGAACGGCGAUGGAUACUGGUCGUCUCGAGGGAGGUAGGGGCGUGUGGAACAAAUGGUGGAGCGGUGAAAUGCGUAGAUAUCAUUUGGAACGCCAAUGGUGAAAACAACUCGCUGGGGAAGUGCUGACGCUGAGACACGAAAGCCAGGGGAGCGAACGGG
rnacentral:rRNA from 1 species